rnacentral:lncRNA from 1 species
AGUGACAGCUCUGAACCCAAGUGGCAUCCUUUCCCUCAGGCUUUUGUGAUAUAUAUAUAUAUACCUUUUUCUUUUCCAGUGCUAGUGCUAAUACCAAAGCUGUAACUAAAAUUAUUGCCUCGUUCUUGGAAAUUUUUAUGAAGACAUGUAGCAAAACCCUAAAUGUUCAGGAAAAUAUCAUUGUUGAACUUUAUUGCAGAUGCAAAAUUCAUUGCAUCUUCCUAGACUAUAUCACUGAAAAAACCACUGUGUGAGUGACAAUGAAAAAAAUAAGUCAAAAAUAUCAAAUAUAUGGAUUUAUGUAUUCUAUCACACAUACAUUUCUAAAAAGUUAAAGAUAAUAAACUCCAGCUAAAUGUUUAGAUCAUCAACUUGAGUAUAUAUGACCUACUGGACAAAAAAUGAAAUAAUUGUUUAAAGUUGAAUCAAUAUUUUGCUCAUUUCAUUUAUAUGAUAAUGAAUAGAUUUAUGUAGUUAACACUAAGUGUCUUUUACACAGUCUCUAAACCUUCAUACUGAUAGAAUAAAAGACCUGAAAAUAUAUAAAAUUAAGAGUUUUAAAAAGGCAUUUGUGUGGGUGCAGUGGCACACACCUGUAAUUCCACCAGUAUGGGAUGCUGAGACAGGAGGAUCACAAGUUUAAGGCCAGCAUCAGCAAUUUAGCGAGACACUUUCUCAAAAUAAAAAGGGCUGGGAAUGUUGCUCAGUGGUAAAUUGCCCCUGGGAUUAAUCUGCAGUACAUCCCUCCCUCCAAAGAAAAAGGUAUUUGCAUUUUUAUAGCUGGCCUUUUUCACUUGGUAUAUUAUCAAAGUUCGUUCAUGUUACAGCAUUUUUUAUAAUUAUUUUUAAGUCUGAAUAUUAUUUCAAUGUAUAUAUAUGUGUAUACCAUGUUUUAUUUAUCGAUUUAUAUGUCCGUGCUGUGAACAUUGGUGUACAUCUGUGCCUGAAUCCCCGUGUAUAAUUCUUUCAAAAUAAGAAUGAUAGGAGUGAAGUUGCUGGAUUUUAUGGUAACAUUAACUUUGAGGAUCUGUCAAACUGUUUUCCAUAGUGACUGUUAGCAUUAGCAAAGUAAAAGGAUUACAAUUUCUCCCAUAUUCUCAUAAAUUUUCUAAUUUCCACUUUUAAAAAUAACCAUCCUAGUGGGCAUGAAGUGAUUCUUCAUUGUGGUUUGAUGUUCAUUUCUCUAAGGUCCAGAGAUGUUUAAUAUCUUCCCCUGUGCUUAUCAACC